CGUCGCACGUACGCCACGCAUCGAGCAGCAGCAGCAGUAGCAGCAGCAGCAGAAGCAGCAGCGCGGGCGCGUUCAGUGGUUGUUGGAAACACCAAAGUGAUAAAGACAAAGUGUUCAAGACAAAAUGUAAUAACUAUAAUUAAAUAUAUACAAUAACAAUAAAAUAAAAAAACAAACAAAACACCAACUAGAAAAAACAAAAAAAUGUUGAGCAGCACUCGAAAGAUGUCAUGUCAAAGAUGCGCACAAUUAGCCUAAGCUGACAACAACAACAACAGCAACAACAACCAGAAUAAGAACCUACAGCCAGAAUUUACAAGCAAAAGGAUAAUCACAAGAAGCACAAAGCAGCGAAAAACAAAAACAAAACAAAAAGCAAAUAACAAAAAGCAAAUAAA
rnacentral:sRNA from 1 species